UACGGAGGGUGCGAGCGUUGUCCGGAAUCAUUGGGCGUAAAGAGCUCGUAGGCGGUUUGUCGCGUCUGCCGUGAAAGUCCGGGGCUCAACUCCGGAUCUGCGGUGGGUACGGGCAGACUAGAGUGAUGUAGGGGAGACUGGAAUUCCUGGUGUAGCGGUGAAAUGCGCAGAUAUCAGGAGGAACACCGAUGGCGAAGGCAGGUCUCUGGGCCACUACUGACGCUGAGAAGCGAAAGCAUGGGGAGCGAACAGG
rnacentral:rRNA from 1 species